GGGUCGUUAGCUCAGUUGGUAGAGCAGUUGACUUUUAAUCAAUUGGUCGCAGGUUCGAAACUCAAAGAUUCG
rnacentral:tRNA from 1 species